ensembl:lncRNA
CAGCGCGGUGCGCACGGGCGCUGGAAGCUGCCGCAGGAAGAUGUGGGCGAAGAGGAACGAGGGAUCCGCCGCGCCCAGCACAGCCAGCAUCCUCUCCAUCAACUCGGACGGCUUGCCGUCACCAAGUCCAUUCAGGGACAGCAGACGUCCGCUUUCUCCAGCUCCGACAGUUCAAAGAGUUUUAACAGGAAUGUUUUGAGUGCGUCGUACUUUCCGUUAGCUGGAGGAAACUCCAACAGCGCCAUAGCCCUGGCCGUCGUCGAGGCAUCCAAGGCCGAAACAACGUGGAAAUACUUAGUGACAUCCUGCGUAAUUCCUCUCAGCUGGAACUGAGCGUCGAUGUGCUGAAACCACGGCCGCGGGUUGCGCUGCCAAAAGUCCGGUAGCUUGAUGGUGGCUGCGUAGAUAGCGCCGACAUUAGCCGCACCGCUAACAACGGCCGGCACCGCAGCAGCAGCAUUCUCACCACCGUCGUUGUUCGACAUGAUCAGCCGUGUUCAAGCGUCGGGGUCACCAAAAUGUGGAGGGUGUAAAGUGACGAGACAGGAGACGGAGAUGCGUGUCAGCGAGUCAGCUUUACUCUCCACUUCAACACUACAGAACAACACAUCGUUGUUUGAUGUCUCCCGAGUGUGUCGGGUUCCUGUCAGCGUUCCAGUCUCGUGCUUCGUAUCGUGUUCCUGUGUUUCUGAGUUCGUUGUCGCCGGAUCUCUCUACCUCUGGGCUCACCAUCAUCCCUCUCCCCGGGGUACAGGCUGACCACCCCGUCCAUGCGCCACCCACCACCAGGAAG